AUUUGACUUUCGAAUCGAGCAGUUUAUAUUGUAGAUCGAGUUUUGUGUUCACGUUCUCGUUAUUUGCGUUCGUCGCCGUUUUUCCACACAGUGCAAUACUUUCCUUACAUUGCUGUGGUGUUGUGCCUAUGUAUUUUAUUUGUAUCGCUUUUAAAAAUUGUAUAAAACUCCGUUGAAAGUUUCUGUGAUAUUUAGAGAAAACCAAUAAGAAGGGUCACUUAAUUCGCAUUCCUCCAGGCCAUUUGAACUCUAAAUUAUUUC